GGGAGAGAGCUGAAUGGUGGGUGUGUGUGCAUGCUUGUGCUUGUUGGGUAUGAGGUGGAUGCACAUGUGCUUCCCACGUAUGCCUAUUCAGUUCUAUCAGAAGUCACCUGGAGUGAGAGGGGGGCUGUGCUGGCCUGCAUCGGGCUGCCUGACCGGGACCCCAGCUGGGAGAGAAGCUUUUCUCACUGGCUCCUGGGUGUGUGUGACCACCUGGUGCCUGCCCAGGAGCCCUUCCACCCGGAGGAGUGGACCCGCCACACCCUCUACAUCUGGACCGAGCCACACAACAGGGUCCUGGGUGAGGGGGUCUAACGAGAAGAUGUGGCAGGCCAGGUAAAGUAAAGAGUAAACAUUGAAGACACUGACUCUCUUUUCUCUUGCAGUCACUGUAUAUAUGUAUAGUUUACAGAUAGAGCCUCUCAUCUGCUAGCUAAAACAUCUACGUAACUCACUCUGGUGUGGUAGAGCACCAGCUAUUCUACAUGAAAUGCCG
rnacentral:lncRNA from 8 species